rnacentral:rRNA from 1 species
UACGUAGGGUGCGAGCGUUAAUCGGAUUUACUGGGCGUAAAGCGUGCGCAGGCGGUCUUGCCAGUCAGGGGUGAAAGCCCGGGGCUCAACCCCGGAAGUGCAUUGGAAACUGCUCUGCUUGAGUACCGGAGAGGAAGGGGGAAUUCCCGGUGUAGCGGUGAAAUGCGUAGAUAUCGGGAGGAAUACCAGUGGCGAAGGCGCCCUUCUGGACGGUUACUGACGCUGAGACGCGAAAGCGUGGGGAGCAAACAGG